rnacentral:misc_RNA from 1 species
GAUGAAGAACGUAGCGAAAUGCGAUAAGUAAUGUGAAUUGCAGAAUUCAGUGAAUCAUCGAAUCUUUGAACGCACAUUGCGCCCGCCAGUAUUCUGGCGGGCAUGCCUGUUCGAGCGUCAUUUCAACCAUCAAGCCCCCGGCUUGUGUUGGGGACCUGCGGCUGCCCGCAGGCCCUGAAAACCAGUGGCGGUCUCGCGGUCACACCGAGCGUAGUAGCAUUAUCUCGCUCCAGUGCCCGGUGGUAGCCUGCCAGAACCCCAACUCUCGUGGUUGACCUCGGAUCAGGUAGGGAUACCCGCUGAACUUAAGCAUAUCAAUAAGCGGAGGA